rnacentral:rRNA from 1 species
GGUUUAGCGGCGGACGGGUGAGUAACACGUGGGCAACCUACCCUGCAGAUCGGGAUAACUCCGGGAAACCGGUGCUAAUACCGAAUAGUUUGCGGCCUCUCCUGAGGCUGCACGGAAAGACGGUUUCGGCUGUCACUGCAGGAUGGGCCCGCGGCGCAUUAGCUAGUUGGUGGGGUAACGGCCCACCAAGGCCACGAUGCGUAGCCGACCUGAGAGGGUGAUCGGCCACACUGGGACUGAGACACGGCCCAGACUCCUACGGGAGGCAGCAGUAGGGAAUCUUCCGCAAUGGACGAAAGUCUGACGGAGCAACGCCGCGUGAGUGACGAAGGUUUUCGGAUCGUAAAACUCUGUUAUGAGGGAAGAAUACGUACCAACUAACUAUUGGUACCUUGACGGUACCUCACCAGAAAGCCACGGCUAACUACGUGCCAGCAGCCGCGGUAAUACGUAGGUGGCAAGCGUUGUCCGGAAUUAUUGGGCGUAAAGCGCGCGCAGGCGGUCCUUUAAGUCUGAUGUGAAAGCCCACGGCUCAACCGUGGA